rnacentral:rRNA from 1 species
UACAGAGGUCUCAAGCGUUGUUCGGAUUCAUUGGGCGUAAAGGGUGUGUAGGCGGCGCGGUAAGUCGGGUGUGAAAUCUCGGAGCUUAACUCCGAAACUGCAUUCGAUACUGCCGUGCUUGAGGACUGGAGAGGAGACUGGAAUUUACGGUGUAGCGGUGAAAUGCGUAGAUAUCGUAAGGAAGACCAGUGGCGAAGGCGGGUCUCUGGACAGUUCCUGACGCUGAGGCACGAA